rnacentral:rRNA from 1 species
UACGAAGGGUGCAAGCGUUGCUCGGAAUUAUUGGGCGUAAAGGGUAGGUAGGUGGUCUGAUUUGUCUGAGGUGAAAGCCCGGGGCUUAACCCCGGAAGUGCCUUAGAAACGGUUAGACUAGAGUACUGGAGAGGGUCGCGGAAUUCCCGGUGUAGCGGUGAAAUGCGUAGAGAUCGGGAGGAACAUCAGAGGCGAAGGCGGCGGCCUGGACAGGUACUGACACUCAACUACGAAAGCGUGGGUAGCAAACAGG